CCUACGGGUGGCAGCAGUGAGGAAUAUUGGUCAAUGGGCGCGAGCCUGAACCAGCCAAGUCGCGUGAGGGAAGACGGUCCUAUGGAUUGUAAACCUCUUUUGUCGGGGAGCAAAAGACGCCACGCGUGGCGUUCCGAGAGUACCCGAAGAAAAAGCAUCGGCUAACUCCGUGCCAGCAGCCGCGGUAAUACGGAGGAUGCGAGCGUUAUCCGGAUUUAGUGGGGGUAAAGGGAGCGUAGACGGCAGCACAAGUCGGGAGUGAAAUCCCGGGGCUUACCCCCGGAACUGCUUUGGAAACUGUGCGGCUGGAGUGCAGGAGUGGUCAGCGGCAUUCCUAGUGUCGCGGU
rnacentral:rRNA from 1 species